CCCAUGAGAAACAAAACAUAGCCGAUACACUGUAAUCUCCUCCUAAAACAAAACCUAAAACAAGCCUUAGAGGGGAUUUGUUCGAUUUGUUUGGCUUUUAAUUAGGGUUUCUCUCACUUUUAAUUAUUGUUUGGCAGUAAGAUGGUGUUGUUUGGUUUCAGCACAAGAAAUCAUGGAAUGAUGAAGAUUUCGUGUCAUAUGAUGGCUUUAUUCGCAGGUCACACUAUUAUUAUUUGGCACAUCCACCAAACAAUAAUAAAUCACGGAGAUUUUCAUAGCUUCCGUCUUGAAGCUAUUCAUUUCACCAAAUGUAUAUACAUUUUGUGAUUUAGGUGAUGUUCAUCUCAGGGGCCUUCUCUUUUUAAAGAGAUUUCAGGGAAGUAUGCUCAUACUGGGAGUUAUGGUGAUGAUCUUAAUGUUUGUUUAUGGAACUAAAAGACAUGGAAACAUAUCAGGGACUGGGAUUUGUGAAAAAGGAUGAAGCUUGAGGAGUGGAGUUGUAAGGUUAUCUUGCAAAAAGAGGGAACCUUCCUGGCGGAAAAUUUGGUAAGUCAUCAUGGUUCUGUUUCUUCUUUCUUGGUACCUGAGAACUGCACUGGAAUCAUCCAUUGAUUUGGAUGGAUAAAUUCAAUAUGGCCAGUGGCCAUUUGUGUAGUCGAGGCACUAAUUUAUCAACAAUGAACAAGCAGUGAUUCACAAAGGUUUGAAAUCAUCCAACAUCUUUCUCUCUGUUGCUUUCCAGCCACGUGUACUUCGUACUUUUAAUCAACAAUGAACAAGCAGUGAUUCACAAUGGUCAAUAAUUUCCUGCAUCUAUAUUGGUUAAAAUGCUGAGGUCUGUAGUUUAUAAUUGCACAUAUUUUUGGUACCUUAGGGUAGUUGCUCAUGAUCAAUUUUUGAAAUCCGCUUUUCAAACACCAUUUGGUUGUAUUACUGUGUUAGUUGCACUUUUAAAAUUGCCUGCUCUAGCCCCUGAUCGCUAAAACAGAAGUAGAAUCAUGGGAAUACGAUUCUUACAUUUCAUAAUUCAUAUGCUUCCUUCUUUUCCAUGUUCUCACGAUCUCAUUCAAGCAGUAACAUAUAAGGCUUUGGUGUAGUUUUAUCGCGCGGAUCAAGUGGUUCACUGGACAGAUUAAAGAUACAUUAGUCCAUUGUAGUACUAUUUAUUUUUUUUGUGGUAUUCCUAUGCCUUUCCUAUCACAUAACUCAAUUGCACAGUUAACAAUUUGACCGGGAAUAUUGGCACGUGGAAGAUUUUCCAUUCCAAAUCCUGCUGAUAGGUUCCAGGCUAAUUGGUGGCAAUCCGGCGUUAACUAAGGUUAUACCUUUAUUAGCUGAUGGGGUGGUUGAUGAUGGUGGCAAAUGAUGACAGCAAGAAAAUGGAGUUUACUAUUACAAAGAGAUUCGUUUACAGGUUGCUACAAGUCUUUCCCAUCUCACCAGGCAUUGGGUGGUCAUAGAUAGUAAGUAAUAAGAUCAAUCAGCAGAAUAUGGAAGUUGUUGCAGGUAGAUUAAUAAUAAGAAGAGAAACUGAAGAGGAAAAGGAUGAGAACCACAUUUUUUAAGAGCAGCAUCAAAGUGAACCCAUGAAAUCCAGAGUUCAGGUUAAGAAAAUAGGAUUCAUUACAAAUUCAAAAAUCAAAGUUGUGCAAACACAUCCAUUUAGCACAUGCGGGAAGACACUUCCAACAUGUCAAGCACCUGGAUGACAUGUAAGACGCAUCACAAAACUAGGCCUGUCAGCUGUGGUGGACAGAAUUCUGCAUCCUCCAUCAUCGCUACUAAUAGUAGUACAGGUGCUUGAUUUUGAUCUGAAUGAGCUGCCGGUGAUGGAAGAAUAAGAAAGACAAAUCCAAAAUACAUGGCGAUGGGAGGAGGCGAAGUGCCGGGCGAGACCAAAUCAAAAAAGCAUUAGGAUGGGACGAGGCGAAGCCGAGUCACAAAAUACAUCCCGACAGGGCAAGGCGGAGCUGAGCCACAUCGAAUCAAAAAUGUAUCCCGACGGGACGAGGCAAGGCUGAGCAACAUCAAAUCAAAAAUCCUAAGAAACGGGUCGAGGCAAAACCGAACAACACCAAAUCAAAAAUGCAUCGUGACGGCAAGGGGCGAAGCCCCGUGACGCCCAAUCAAAAUUGCACGACGGAACGAGACGAAGCCACAUCACACCAGAAAAUAUCGUUAAAAGAUAAAAUAAAAAAUGAUGGUGACAAAAUAUAGUAUAUAUAUAAUUUAGGUUAAGACCAAAACCUUGAGGACUAAACGUCCGUGCAUGCAAGACUCAGUUUCAAUUUAGGUUAUAAUCUAGGUUAAGACUCAGUUUCAAUUUAGGUUAUAAACGUCCGUGCAUACAAAAUCUAGUAUAUAUAUAAUUUAGGUUAAGACGAAAACCUUGAGGACUAAACGUCCGUGCAUGGUUACCAAGACUCCAAUCACCAAGACUCAGUUUCAGACACCGACUCAGACCUAUUCAAGCCGCUUCCGACCGAUCCAGAUAGAAUCAGUUUUCAGAUGCUACUUUAGUUUAGUGUGUUACUUUAGGAAAAUUUAUGAUAAAUGGAUGGAUCAUUUGCUGAUCCUAAUACCAUUGCCUAGUGCAGUGUUGUUAAAUUAGUGCAGUGUUGUUAAAUUGUUUGGUGUUGUCUUCAACGGGCCAUUUUACUUACUUGUGAAAAAUCCUGAGAAAUGGAUGGAUCAAUUGCUGAUCCAAAUAUUUCUGCCUUGGCCCUUGUGCAGUGAUGUUAGAUUGUUUGGUUA